rnacentral:rRNA from 1 species
GGCUCAGAUUGGACGCUGGCGGCAUGCUUUACACAUGCAAGUCGAACGGUAACAGGCCGCAAGGUGCUGACGAGUGGCGAACGGGUGAGUAAUGCAUCGGAACGUGCCCAGUCGUGGGGGAUAACGCAGCGAAAGCUGCGCUAAUACCGCAUACGAUCUAUGGAUGAAAGCGGGGGACCGUAAGGCCUCGCGCGAUUGGAGCGGCCGAUGUCAGAUUAGGUAGUUGGUGGGGUAAAGGCUCACCAAGCCGACGAUCUGUAGCUGGUCUGAGAGGACGACCAGCCACACUGGGACUAAGACACGGCCCAGACUCCUACGGGAGGCAGCAGUGGGGAAUUUUGGACAAUGGGCGCAAGCCUGAUCCAGCAAUGCCGCGUGCAGGAAGAAGGCCUUCGGGUUGUAAACUGCUUUUGUACGGAACGAAACGGCUCUGGUUAAUACCUGGGGCUAAUGACGGUACCGUAAGAAUAAGCACCGGCUAACUACGUG